GUAGAUGUAGUUUAAACAAAACGCUAAACUGUGAAUUUAGAUAUAGGAAUUUGAAACCCCCUUAUCUACC
rnacentral:tRNA from 2 species